GGCCUGUAAACAUGGAGCACCAAUUUCUUUUGCUCUUUUUAUGGCUUUGUGGUGCUUUAGAUGCAAAGGCAGAUGAAAUGAGGACCGAUUCAGUGAUGGAGGGAUAUCUCAACACUCAUGCUCUCCCAACUCCUGAAAUUAUCAGAAAGUAUCGACCAUGUACAGAAGGAUCAUUAAGGACAAAGUGUGUGUUGGUGUGUUCAGCGAAGAACGUUCCAAAUGCGACUCUAACCUUGUAUAACGGAAGCAGUUUAUUCUCCAUGACUAAAGUUUCUGAUAUUAACAUCGGUCCCGUUCUAUGUCUGGAGGUGGAAAAUAAGGAUAAAAACAACUACAGCUGUGUGUUCAACAAUCACAUCAGCAGCCAGAUUACACGUCUCAACAUCACGCAACUCUGUCAGUCGUGUUCACGUAUGUGGCAUUUAUUUACCGACUUCAUCUGAAUUCUGUCAGACAUUUUAUUUCACUGAGUUCACUAGUUUGUUUCCUGGUGUUUUACAGUAAACGC
ensembl:lncRNA